UUCCUUUCGAUGUCAUUAUAAACGGAUUCGACUGUAUAAGGAAACGACUUUAUAAAGACUUUAAAAUUGGAUGAGCCUUUAAGGGUUCUAUUAUUUUACAAUUUAUACUGACUCUACUACCAUCAUCAAGGUAAAUAUGCAAGCACUGUUAUAUUCUACUUUGAAGAACAUUGAUGCCGGGCAUCCAGUAAAAUUAUUGGACGUUGAGACUUAACAUCUAAUGUCUCUUAGACUAAAGCAGUAUAGUGCCAGGGGCGCCUUGUAGUUCCAACUUACACCGAAUUGGAAUUAAAAGUGGAAAAACCAA